GCGGGUGUAGCUCAGUGGUAGAGCAGCGGCUUCCCAAGCCGCGUGUCGCGAGUUCGAAUCUCGUCUCCCGCUCCA
rnacentral:tRNA from 8 species